CGCGUAGACGGUUUUGUAAGUCAGAUGUGAAAUCCCUGGGCUCAACCUGGGAACUGCAUUUGAAACUGCAUGGCUAGAGUAUGGAAGAGGGAAGUGGAAUUUCCGGUGUAGCGGUGGAAUGCGUAGAUAUCGGAAGGAACACCAGUGGCGAAAGCGACUUCCUGGUCCAAUACUGACGUUCAUGUGCGAAAGCGUGGGGAGCAAACAGGAUUAGAUACCCUGGUAGUCCACGCCAUAAACGAUGACAACUAGAUGUUGGGAGGGUCUGCCUCUCGGUGUCGCAGCUAACGCGUUAAGUUGUCCGCCUGGGGAGUACGGCCGCAAGGUUGAA
rnacentral:rRNA from 1 species